rnacentral:antisense_RNA from 1 species
UAUAAUGGUGGGUCGUAGCGGGGGAGCCGAAAGGCUCGCCGGGUUUCUUGACUACCGGUAUGCUAACCCCGUUACGUCUCGCCACCAUG